rnacentral:rRNA from 1 species
GGCCGCAGCCAUUUUGACUGUGCAAAGGUAGCAUAAUCAUUAGUCUUUUAAUUGAAGGCUGGAAUGAAAGGUUAGAUGAGGUAAAUACUGUUUUAUAAAGAUAAAUUGAAUUUAUAUUUUAAGUAAAAAUACUUAAAUUAUGUUAGGGGACGAGAAGACCCUAUAGAGUUUGAUAUAUUAAAUUUUUACUGUGUUAAUUUUUUGAUUUGAAGUUAAUUAUUAAUUAUAUUUAAUUGGGGUGAUUGAAAAAUAGAAUUAAUUUUUUCUUGAUUUUAAUAUUAUAGGUAGUAGAUUGAUCCAUAAUUAAUGAUUAAAAGAUUAAAUUACCUUAGGGAUAACAGCAUAA